AUAAAUGCACGAAAACAAACAUACUAAGUCGCAUAAAUAUACUCCUAUCAAAUUCCCCCACACUUAGCUUUUGCUAGUCCUCGAGCAAAACAAAGAAACAAAGAAACAAAACAAAACCUAAACCUUCCAACAUUUACCUUAGGGAUUUUCAAUGCAACAUGACAUGCAAAAGAUCAUCAUAACCACAUAUUUUGGCCUUCCCUACCCUUGAGCACAUACUUAAUCAUAGUCACCACAUACUAGUUCACAUAUAACCAAUUAAAACGAUGUUUUGAAUGUAGUAACAUGCCUUAGAGAAUUUGCUCAAUUCCUUACAAGAUACACUCUUAUUUUCACUCUGAU
rnacentral:lncRNA from 1 species